AUAAUGAAAGAAUUACCAGACCUUAAAACCACCCAUAUAAACGCCAAAAUGGCCUUGAAAACCUCCAAAAUAAGCCCUAUAAUUGCCAACAAUCUCCUUAGAAACGGCUAUCUGGUUCGAAAAAAACGCCCUUGAAUCCGCCAAAAUGGGCUCAAAACGCUUAAAUAGCCCUUAAAUUCGAUGAGAAAAACGUCAAAAAAAUGGCAAUCGCAGUUUUUUCCUCAACCCCCUCGAAAAAAAAAACGCUCCGCUCCGACCCAAAUUGGCACCAAUUCCGCUCACACAUCCAUAAAGUGUGAUUUCUAACCUCGAAAGAUUUCACCAUCGCGAAGCAAUCCAAUAAACACACGGCUUGACUCGGUCGCUAAUGCAGCAGCAGCAGCAGCAGCAGCCAUCAUCGAGUACCGAAUUUGUGGGGCUGCAAUCUCUGAGACUGCAGCCACCGACCGACCGACUGACUGACUGGAAGAAUCUCUUUCUAUCUCUGUCUGACAACGACGACGGCAACGACGGAGUGUCGUUACCUAAUCAAGUUGUCUUGUCGUGAUUUUCAUCGUCCGCCGCGCUUUUUUUUUUGCUGGUGGUGUGCGUGCGUGGCGGAUCGCUUGCUAAAUGGAGCCAAUUGAAAACAAUUGGAUGGCUUCCAUGUUGAUGUUGUUGUCACACUCUGCCCAUAUGAGUGCGACAGGAAACAAUUCAUUCCAGCGGAGGAGCGCAGUCGUUAUCAGAACGAGCUCAACUGGGGCAAACAUGGUAGGUGAUUGGGAGCGAGAUAAUACAAGUAUUUAAUUUUAUGACCGUAUCGAAGAAAAAAAAGAAAUAGAAGCAAUCACAAACAAUCAAGUAGGCUGGAUGGGUGAACCCGAGCAGAAGAAAUUAAAAAAAAAAGUUUGACAUUUUUAUGAUGCGCCAAAAUUUACAACCCGGAGAUGUGAUGGCAAAGUUGCUUGACAUCCAGGUGCAGCCGGUCAACCUUCGGACCGGGUUUACCCCAAGCGACAGUGCGAUGAUGUUUAUGGAGUGUUGUUUUUAUUUUUUCCCCAUUCAGAAGCUGAUACCCAGCGUCGUCGUCGUCGUCGUCGUUGGCUGUGUGGUGACUAUGUGGUUUUUUUGCUGCUCAUACACAAACUCGUACGAGAGUUAGCAAAUAGUAUAGGAAUACAGAGAGUACGCUAUUAAAGCCGACGAAGCCAAUAGAUGACGGUACACGGCGAUGAUGAUUGCGCUGAUUAGAAAAGAGUAGCGACUCACGCGCGCGUGUGACUGUGUGUGUGUGUGUGUCAAUGUGCGGUGCAAAUAGAUAGUCCAACUGGAGUGACUUUUUGUUUGUUGUUGCUUUUUAAUGAUGGGCCAUUCUAACGAACGAACGAACGAAAAAAUACUAGAAGAGAGAAAAUAGAUAGUCUUUUGCAAUGGCCUCGUAAAGUGGAACGAUGCGGGUGAAAUUGUAUGACCAAUUUGGACGCUUUAAAGGGGGGAGGGAAAUGCGGUAGGUGCAUACCAUCCUUCGGACCAUCAAUGGAUGUGAUACCGCAGAUCAUCCGUCAGAAGGAAUCGAUUCGUGAUAUUUUCCCUUCAAAAGAAUUAACCUCGUUUCCGAAGGAACGAAACCAUAAUGCAAUUAGUUCUGCUUUUACGGAGCCGUGAAUUAUGAAUUAGGCCAUCUUUUCCUAUAGUACCAUUACCCUUCCAUUUCGGAAAGAGCCUAACCUCUGUAACCAGUAUUCCACCACCAUGGUUGGCAGGUAUGGCGGUGGGUGGUAAUCCAAUAAAUUGGCUUCUGUAAUUAAAAGUAGUGGUGGCAACUGCUGUAUGCUGCUGGUAGAGCUACGUUCUAGGGCGGCGGCAUUCUGAUGGCUGUGGUGGCCAAGUUGACUGACUGACAGACAGGUGUGAUGUAUUAGGAAGGUGUUGCCUGACGACUGCGGGUAGCCCCGGUAACCUCAAUGAGAUUAUUAUGGGCUUUGCCGGAUGUUCGCUUCAGCCGCGUUGUUUCGUUGGAACACGAGCGAAGGGUUAAGCAAGGAGAUGGCUCGAAAUGGAAAUUUAUGCCAGCAAAAUUGCAGCGAAGAACGCUGCCAAUGGGGUCACACUUUCCUACUUCGAUAACCAUUUGAAGAGUAAAUCUCGAUUAAUUUUUGAAUAAGUUCCAAUUGUUAAUCGUUGUUCAGAAAAUCCGCGAGAGGUGAACAAAGCUUUGUGAAAUACUGAUGCUAACAAUGUUUUACUUACUAUCUUUUACGAGGGUACAUGUCCCUAACCUCGGUCUAAUAAGCAGCCUUAAAUUACAUUGUAUGUCAUCAUCUUAUUUGAUAACUGAGCUGCAAACGAUAUUUCACUGUCAAAUGAUCUAUUUUGACUAUACUGGGGGUGACGAAAUCGAAAAUGAGGCAUGUAACGAAAACGGAGGAAGUUUUCAAUCGCAUAUUUCUCAAAACUAUAAAUGAGAAAUAUAGCAUGCAAUAUGUCAUUCGACUGAUAAUUUAUCCAGCAUUUUUUUGGUGUGAUCAAAUUUGCUGUCAGUUUAAUCCAGGAUAUUUUGUUAAUUUUUUUUUUAUUUUUUACUCCAGCCAUGAGAGUCAGUGCAGACCUUUCUGCAACCGAACUCCGGGCAGUUAGGUGGAUUCGCCUCCUUCGGUACAACAUGGACUCCAUUCACUGCAUUUCGUCAAAUAUUCGCGAUACAACUUACGAACACGUGUUUUGGCCGUCACAUUCUGCUUAUCAUUGCGGUUCGGCACAGUUUUCACCUUGAAUGACUUCAAUCGAUGCUUCGAUGCACGAACGUUGGCGAAAUUUCAAUUUUACGAGUAACAGUACGUAUACCGAAAGAUCUGGCCUCCUCCGUAAUAUUUGUUUCACCUUCACGUCGUUCUGGUGGUUCCUCAAAUCCGGUUUUGUUCCGCUUCCCGUCUUCCUAGCUGUUGCCAAACGAGUAUCGAACGAUUUAGAAACUCUGUAUACAGUGCUUGCAGAAAAAGCAAGCUUUUUGGCAAGUUUUCUGAUCGAGCGAUCCUUUUUUUCUUUGCGUUCGCACACAAUUGCUUUUCGGGCUUACCCUUCCUUUGACGCCUUUUUCGACUAAGCUCUUCUAAUGUAAACAAAGGUUGUUGUAUUUUCAGACAUACGUCCACCACUUUGUGAAAUGUUUCACUCGUUGAUGAGAUAUUUCAGGAGAUUGGGGUUUAGGGGUGUCCAGAUUUUGCCGCGAACAAUCCUUAGUACAAAUAGUGAAAAUAGUUACACGAUUAAGAAAUUUAACAGACGAAAUAGGAAUAUUUCUCGAACUAAUCAGAAGAGCGGACGGGUGGGAUGAAUCUAUAUUCUCUCGCACGGACAUCACUUUCCAGCUCGUGCGCAAUUUCGCCUUCCACAGCGCUUUCAGCGUCGAUCUGAUCGGAGCUCAUUGCGGUGAAAACGCCCGUAUAGAGGAAGAGGAAGAGUAGCGGAUCUUCACACUGCACCGGGCCGGAUGGGAUUUGUGUUGGUAAGAGAAAGAGGCAACUAUAGUUAGUUUGUACUCUCUCAUACCAUCGCAAAUACCGUCCGACCCGGGCACUGCACGGUGUAGUGAGAAGAGUUCUUCGUCGUUCCAAAUUGCUUCUGCCAAAUCGCAUCCACCAUUAGUCCCCGCCCGACAUGGGAGCAAGAAGAGUAACGGAAAUCUCCAUCCAUACACACCGUCUGUCAAAUCGCUUCCACUUGUUCAGCCAGACAGUCGAGCCAUAGAGGUAACUCUAAGACCAGAAGGUCCCGAAGAAAUGUGCUUAACAUACUAUCGUCGGUCCCAAGCUAAGCGAUGCACCCCUCGAAACAAAAGAAAAUCCACGAACCCCUCAUUUUGUCUGUCAAACGUUCAUAGCGAAUCAAAACAAACAUAGUGUAGUACUAGAAUUUCGACUAGAAUGGGAUACCUUAAACGAUUUGCAUGGGACCAAUAGGCUAGUCAAGUAGUGAUCCAAUUUAAAAUCGUUAGUUUCCACCGGUUGGUCCAGCUGGUCGAAGCUAUGCGGCAUCACUCAGGGUGACCAGUGAAUCGGGAAAAAGCCGGGAAUUCGAAGUCACCGGAAAACCCCGUGAAUAUCGAUGACAAAUCGGGAAAGAAUGUACUUCGUUCUUUCCUCAAGAAAAAUGAGAUUUUGAAUCGUGGACAAAAUUUCAAGUCCUUUGGACUGGAUUAGAUUUUCGGAAUACAGUCACUGAAGAACUAUUACUUUGCUACUUUGAGUAGAUUAUAGAAUGAAUUCCAGAGAUGAACGUUAAGAGAGUUUUGACUAAUGUGAUUUCAGCAAGAGGUAAGACACACAGCACAUUGUGCCGAAAUUAGCUUCGGCACAGUUUGGGCACAUCCAUCGGCAUGUCAUAUUUUGUAACUUUUCAAUGAUAGAUCUUACUUCGUCCAAAUUAGUCCCCCAGGAAUGAUCAAACAUAUUUUCGCGUGAGAAAAUAUUCAGAUAAUCCCGGGCAACUUGAUUCUGAAUAGGACUAGUAAGGCUCAAAUUAAAAUUUUGGGAACUCUCGAAUGCUUAGCAAGUUUCUGAAAUUUUUCCGGAUUUGUGAUCCAAAGUUUCAUGGCAGGAUCGCGUGUUCUUUGAUAUUGCCGCCUACGGACAUUUUUCAGACGGAUCAAGAGCUGAAGAUCGUCGUCUAUUAUAAUUGAAUCGAAUUUAACCUCGCAUUUUAGUACUGAGGCAGCUCUUGCUUCAACUGCAGAAGUAGCCAGAGAUUCAAGAGCAUUAUCAAUAUCAGAAGCCUGUCUUUAGACUCUGCGAAUAAAUGUCUUUGCUCACCUUCAGAAGACUAUUGAUGGAAGCCUCUACACAUAGCUUUCACUUACUGUUGUUAAAAAAAUUUCGAUGAGCAAUGUCGGAUGUUGCUGUGCGUCUUAAGAACAUUUCCUGAUUGUCUCCAGUGAACUUACGUCAGAUUCUCGAAGGAACUUCCCCUGCUAACUUGUGGAAGCCUCCACACUUGGAUUUCAUUAAGUGCUGUCGAAAUAUUUUCAUUCAACAAUAUCAGAUCUUGCUGUGGGUGUCUUAGUAGGGGUUUCUGAUCUCCUCCAGAAUCCUGUUUUAGGUUCUUCCGAGAAUUGUCUCUGCUCCCCUUCGGAAGACUAGCUGUGGAAGCCUCCACACAUAGCUUUCACUUACUGUUGCUAACAAAAUUUCGAUGAACAAUAUCGGACCUUGCUGUGCGUCUUAAGAACAUUUCCUGAUUGUCUCCACUUACGUCAGACUCUUGAAGGAACUUCCCCUGCUAACUUCCCGAAAAGUACUUGUGGAAGCCUCAAACUUAGAUUUCAUUAAGUGCUGCUGAAAUAUGUGCAUUGAACAUUAUCUGAUCUUGCUGUGGGCGCCUUAAAAGGUGAUCACCUCCCCCUCGGAAGACUAUCUGUGGAAGCCUCCACACAUAGCUUUCCCUUAUUGCACUUGUGGAAGCCUCCACACGUGGAUUUCUUUAAGUACUGUCGAAAUAUUUGCAUUGAACAUUAUCAGAUCUUGUUGUGAGUGUCUUAGUAGGGGUUUCUGAUCUCCUCCAGAAUCCUGUUUUAGGCUCUUCGGAGAAUUUUCUCUGCUCUCUUUCUGGAAGAUUAUUUGUGGGAGCCUCCACACAUAGCAUUCAUUGAGCGUUUUCGAAAUAUUGUCGUUAAACAAUAUCGUGUCGCGCCUUGAACGUGCUAAAGAGGAGAGUUCCUGAUCACUUCCAGUGUACUUACUCUAGAGUAUUGGAAGACUACUUGUGGAAGCCUCCACAAUUAGUUGUCAACCAAAGUUCGAUGCGCAAUAUCGGAUCUGGCUGUGCGUCCCUGGAGGGGUUCCUGAUCGCCUCCGGAGAACUUACUUCAGACUGUUGGAAGAAAUUCCUCCACUCACCUUCGCAAGACUGUUUAUAGAAGCCUCCACACACUUAGCUUCCAUUGUGUAUUCCCAAACUAAGUUCGUUGCACAAUUUCUGAUCUUGCUGCGCUUCUUAAGAGGGAUUCCUUACUUUGGAGCAGUUCCAAAUUUUAGAUUUUUCCACUCAGAAUUUCAUGAAACUUCGCGGAAUUCGCAAAAACUUGCAGGAAACUGGAAUGCUUUGAACAAAUACACACUAAACAAAAAUUAAAAAGUUUCGUAAAAAAAUAAAAAAUAAAUAAACUGUUUAAAACUUCAAUAGAAAGCUUAUCAGAAAUGCUAACUUUUCUGAAAUGGACACUUUGAAAUUGACCAAAAUCGUAGAACAUAAACGUUUAGUAAACAUUUUAAAUUUUGUUUUCACAAAGUUUUAUUUUUUAUGCAGAAAACAUAUUUUUUAGUCAAAAAAAUCGGUUUCUCAUCACCUAAAUAUUACGUUUAACAAAAUUUAAAAAAUAGUACUUAAGUUUGAUGUUCUUACGAUUUUGA